UGGUCUGGGGAUGUUUGCAUGAUUCUUCUGGGAAAAAGUCAAGGCCGGGGAUCUCUGGAGGAUUACAUGUCUUGGAGUUGGGGGUUACAGCCAAGUGUGCCUGAAUACUCAGGGCCCAAAAGCCCUGGCUGACAUCUGGCUUAUUGAUACAUGAAAAAUAUGGGCAAGAUAGCUCAUGAGGCUGACACAAGAUCAUCCCUCCCUUUCCAGGCGCCUCUAAAUACCUGAUGAAGAAAAAGCAAGGGAAGGAGGAGAGGAAGAGGGAGAGAGGGUUGAAGCCACACAGGCAAUGAGGCACCAGAGCAGUAUGUGUCUUAGGAGCUGGGUGGGAGUGGGAGUUGGGAAGGUCUCUGGCCCUGCAACUGGGCUCCCCAGAGAGAGCUGGCAGCCAAGGAAGGACUUAAGGUCAUCCACGUUUGGAAGCCAGAGCCUCUCUGCCUGUGGGAGAUGGAAUGAUUGGCUCCAAUUAUUUAGCCCUCUCUGCAUCGACAUGCCUGCCAUGGCCUCAUCGUGGGUGGAAUAUUUUUCCAUGCCCCUUCACUUUGGGCUCAGCUGUGUAACUGGCUUUGGACAACAUGCCAGAUGCCUGAAGAAAGAUCCAGAAAGAUGGUCAGAGCCUGGAGCCAGGCUAAAUCUGUAAGGAAGAAGUCUAAUUGGGACUGGAGACUUCUGGCCAACAUGGUGGACAAAGCUAACCUGUGGUGGGCGCACAGCAAUGUUGUGGCAGUAGCCAAUAGGUACCUUGCCCAUGAGCCCAGAGUCACAGUCAGAAGUGAGCUGACUACACCGAUGGAUCCCAGAGCGUGGUUGAUUCCUGAAUGCCUCCGUCUCAACUUGCAUGAAAUGUCCCGUGAAAUUCCUGGAGAGGCUUCCAGGCCAUAUGCUCGCAGAUCUGGUGCUCACAUGUCAGAAAUGAUGUGGCUCAUUCUUCCCUGCCUCUGCCACCAUAUGCAUGUGCCCCUAAUCUGACCAGCAGAUCAGCAGCUUGGGGGAGGACAUGCCCACGGCUGGCAGAAAGCUGCCUGGCAAAUCUUGACACCCUGGAAGAGAGAAGAUGGCGUCUACUCCCAUACUCCUCAGAUGCCGGAAACGACAGGCUCUGUGUACCCCUGUGGACCAGCCAGAUUCUUGAGCAGAUUUUCCUGAUCUGUUUACCAGGAAAAUGGUAUACCCAGCAGUUUCGGCAAUUCCAGAGUCCUUGGUGGCCUGGCAGUAAUGGUGUCUCUCCAGUCACCCAGAUGUCCCUAUACAGCUCUCUACAUCAGGGUUUGGC
rnacentral:lncRNA from 1 species